rnacentral:rRNA from 1 species
AUGAACGCUGGCGGCGUGCCUAAUACAUGCAAGUCGAGCGAACAGAUGAGGAGCUUGCUCCUCUGACGUUAGCGGCGGACGGGUGAGUAACACGUGGAUAACCUACCUAUAAGACUGGGAUAACUUCGGGAAACCGGAGCUAUACCGGAUAAUAUAUUGAACCGCAUGGUUCAAUAGUGAAAGACGGUUUUGCUGUCACUUAUAGAUGGAUCCGCGCCGCAUUAGCUAGUUGGUAAGGUAACGGCUUACCAAGGCAACGAUGCGUAGCCGACCUGAGAGGGUGAUCGGCCACACUGGAACUGAGACACGGUCCAGACUCCUACGGGAGGCAGCAGUAGGGAAUCUUCCGCAAUGGGCGAAAGCCUGACGGAGCAACGCCGCGUGAGUGAUGAAGGUCUUCGGAUCGUAAAACUCUGUUAUUAGGGAAGAACAAAUGUGUAAGUAACUAUGCACGUCUUGACGGUACCUAAUCAGAAAGCCACGGCUAACUACGUG